UACGGAGGGUGCAAACGUUGCUCGGAAUCAUUGGGCGUAAAGCGAACGUAGGCGGCAUUGCAAGUCGGGUGUGAAAUCCCCGGGCUCAACCCGGGAACUGCGUCCGAUACUGGGAGGCUUGAAUCCGGGAGAGGGAUGUGGAAUUCCAGGUGUAGCGGUGAAAUGCGUAGAUAUCUGGAGGAACACCGGUGGCGAAGGCGGCAUCCUGGACCGGUAUUGACGCUGAGGCGCGAAAGCCAGGGGAGCAAACGGG
rnacentral:rRNA from 1 species